UACGGAGGAUGCAAGCGUUAUCCGGAUUUAUUGGGUUUAAAGGGUGCGUAGGCGGACAGUCAAGCAGGGGGUGAAAUGCCGGCGCUCAACGCCGGAGCUGCCUUCUGAACUGGCUGUCUGGAGUGGCAGUGCCGUUGGAGGAAUGAGUGGUGUAGCGGUGAAAUGCUUAGAUAUCACUCAGAACACCGAUUGCGAAGGCAUCUGACGAACUGCCCACUGACGCUGAGGCACGAAAGCGUGGGGAUCAAAC
rnacentral:rRNA from 1 species